GGGAGGGUGAAUGUGAAGGCCAUGGCACUAGCGAAAAGGAGUCCCCACCAUGGCAUCUGAACCUGAUCAUUCAAGAAGAUGCAGAGUAUGAGAGAAACGGCCAGUGAUAGACCAAGCAACACAUGGAACCACCAUGAAGAAUUGCUCAUGGGGUGGUGGUUGCUGAAGUUAGGUACUAUUGACUAGAGGGUGAAAGAUGAGCAAAUAUGGAGCAGAAGGCUGAGAUUUUCCUACCUUAUGGUCCUUAUCUUCAACAAAAACGAUCGCCAUCCAAUGUUGACUCCCAAUUGUCUAUAUUUCUUGCUUAACAGUGUGCCUUGCCUUGCUUACUUUUGAAAAACAAAUUCAGAGCAGACAUUAUUAUUAAAUGGGUAGUUGACCAUCGUUUCCAUAUAGCGACACCAAAAUGUAAUUAUUAUGAUGAUAAAGCACAUGUACGUUUUCCUGGA